ensembl:snRNA U6 U6 spliceosomal RNA
GUGCUCUCUUCGGCAGCACGUAUGAUAAAAUCGAAAUGAUGUAGAGAAAAUUAGCAUGGGCUCCGUGCAAGCAUGACACUCAAAUUGGUGAAGCAUUCCAUAUUUUC